rnacentral:rRNA from 1 species
CCUACGGGAGGCAGCAGUGGGGAAUAUUGGGCAAUGGGCGCAAGCCUGACCCAGCAACGCCGCGUGAAGGAAGAAGGCUUUCGGGUUGUAAACUUCUUUUGUCAGGGACGAAGCAAGUGACGGUACCUGACAAAUAAGCCACGGCUAACUCCGUGCCGGCAGCCGCGUUAAUACGUAGGUGGCAAGCGUUAUCCGGAUUUACUGGGGGUAAAGGGAGUGUAGGCGGGACUGCAAGUCAGAUGUGAAAACCACGGGCUCAACCGGUGGCCUGCAUUUGAAACUGCAGUGCUUGAGUACUGGAGAGGCAGACGGAAUUCCUAGUGUAGCGGUGAAAUGCGUAGAUAUUAGGAGGAACACCAGUGGCGAAGGCGGUCUGCUGGACAGCAACUGACGCUGAGGCGCGAAAGCGUGGGGAGCAAACAGGAUUAGAUACCCUAGUAGUC